UCUUCUGUGCCAGGAGCAAAACUGGAAGCCUUUAUGUAUAUGUGGUGAAGAAAGAGGUUGUUGAAGGCAUAGGAACCACUAGGUGGCAGCAUAUGAGCAGAUGAAUCAAAGAGAACCAAUUGCCUUUGGUUUUAGCUACCCUUGCACCAAUCCCAACCUACAGCACCUGGCACCUCAGACAGGUUGUGAGAAUGGAAGCAGCAUCAGGUAAAUUACACCUAACAAGGUUCAUGCCC